AUCCCACCGCCACAGACACGAGGGCGGUCCCGCGGCGCCCCGCCUGGGACGCCGGAAGGCCCUCGGCACCCACCAAGACCUGCCUCACGAGCCCCUGGUCCCGCCACCGGGGCCCCGAAGCGACCACAGCCACAAACUCAACGCCAGGGCCACAUCGCUCGUGAUUCUCGUCCAUCCUCCGACCCGGUCCCGCUCCGGGAGACCGGCGCGCCCCCACCGUGGGACGCUUUCCCAGGGCCAGGCGGCCCGACCACGUGCCACGCAAACGCCGUCGUCCGCACCGGUCGCGACUCGGCAAGGGAGCGGGCGGAGAGCUGACUCGCGGCGGAGGGGGGUCACUCGCCGGACGGAACGCUGCGCGCAGCCAUCGCUCGCUGUCAGCCGCGUCCCAACCCGCUAGGACGCUGGGCCCUGCCGGCGGGAUCCUCCCCUUACUCGGAAAGGGGAGGCGCCGGCCACAGUAGGCGACGAGCCGCGCUCGGCCACCACCGCGGUGGCCGGCGGAACCCUCGCUCUCCCCCCGUCACCCCGUCGAGGGGGAAGCUGAGGAGGGUUCCUCUGCAAGCGAGUCGCUACUGCAGCGCUACCAUAACGGAGAGAGAGACAGAGGCGGCAGGCCGGGGGAUCCCGUACCCCAAGGCACACCUCUUGGAUCGCU
rnacentral:lncRNA from 1 species